GUGAAAGACUGUUGAAGACCCCUGGCUCGCGUGAGUCGAGCUCCUAGGAGACGAACUCCUAAACCAGAGUUGGGGCUGGGAGCGUCCGCUUUGAACAUCUAGUUCCACCCCGAGACGAUUUCCACCCAGCUCAGGUCCUCAUGCCCCUUCCUUUGGAGUCCUCUUCUGUAACCUCUCACCGUUGAGAGACACCUUGCAAGAUGAGAGGACUUAAAAUCUUACAUGUUACUACUGCCCAGCACAAAGGAAAGACUGACUGCCACGUGCAGCGCCUCAGUUGGAUGUGUCUAGAGUCUUCAAAGCUUGACUACCCUACGUUCUCCUAACAAAUGGACCUUGAGAGCUUGUUUGGAGGGUCUAGCAGGGGAGCACAACUACUCGUAUACCUUUGACCGAAGAACAGUCCUCCUCUGUCGGGGAAGGUCGUCCUCUUCGACCGAGCGUGCAGCUUCGGGAGGGACGCACAUGGAAUGGUGAGGGAGGAAGGGGACACCCGCCUUGCUAGCCAGAUCAGCCGAUCAAUGGGGUGACAGAUGUCGCAGCCAGAUUGCCCUCACAUCCUUAUUAUCAUUUUUUUUUUAUUUUAAGUAGGUUCCAUGCCCAACAUGGAGCUCAAACUCAUGACCUCGAAAUCAGGAG